CUGUGAAUAUUCUUGCUAAUCUGAUUUUGUAAUAGUCAAGGCAGGCUAAAACAUUCACUAUAUUAAGACCAUGCAUGUGUCCCCAGACCUAGUUCUUUCCCUAGGUCUAGUUUUUAUAAAUGUUGGUGAUCAAC
rnacentral:snoRNA from 2 species